GUCCUAUAUAAAGCACAGCUCAAAGCCGCUCUCUUCACAACACUGCCUGUGUGAUGAGUUCUCACUGAUUGGCACUCAAGUUAAUAGAUACGUGACAAAAUGGCUGAUUGUUCAGCACUCUUCCAUGUGGUGUUUGUCUGCAAUAUUGUGAUUUUACUCUUCAGUGGGGUCCUGAACAUAAUUUUAUGUGACAGACUGAGGAGAAGAAAAUGUGAACUGUGUGCAGCACAUCACAGGAGGCUUCACCUGGCUGUCCCUCCUCAACAAAACUCUGUGUCUGAUGAUCAAGAGAGUGAGGUGAACUAUACCAUGCUGCAAUUCCCUGAAGACAACACAAAAACAGAGAGCUCAGAGAAGAGCAGAAAUGACACUGUCUAUUCCAGUCUUAAAUGCCAAAUCUCAAACAUCACUGAGGAAAACUAAAUCAGGAUUUUCAGAGCUCCACAGUGCAGAUUUCCAGCAGGACACUGGAUCUCUCCCUCCGCAGACCAGGAUCAUCACCACUGACCCAGAACCAAUGACCAGCCAUAAAGCGCAGAUCAGUCCACACAUAAACUGUCUGGGAUGUUAUAGUAUAAUUUAUCACCUCUUCCAUAAUUGUCUCAGAACUUAGACUUGCCAGAUCAGUGUACUCUUUUCUGCAAUAGUCCAGGGCUUCAUCCCACGUCUUAUUCUGAUGAACCAAAACUGGGCUGAAGACCUUCAUACAGUAAAAAGAUAGAGUCUCAGAGCAUGGAAUGUUGUGCAGUUUAGAAGUGGAUAUUUUUAACCUGCCACAAUUUUCAGAAUAAUCAUCUGGUUGUUCGCUAUCCCAGUUGUCAAUUGGUUGCCUCUCACCUCCAGACCAAAUCCAUUUUUCUGGGUUGUUAGAACUUCUGUAUAGUCCAGCCCAUUUAAAAUGAUACACAGAAUCUGUAUAAACGCAAAACUUUUCUGCCUCUCCUUUAUUGAUGGUGGAAAGGUCGUCGUAGUAUUUUCUGCAGUAUUUCUGUUCAUCAUUCAGUCAUUUUUUUCCCCACAAAAUAAUGGAUUCUAUAGGCACUGAGGUACAGUCCAAAAAGACUCAAAAGUAAGAACACAUUGACUGCAGCCUUCAUUUCUGUAUGGACGAUUUACACAGUAAUGCCUAAGUGUGCACUCAACUACGAUGAUAUUAUGGCAUCUCUUAAAGAUUUUUAAUAAGAGACCAAUAAAAAAGCUGUAAGGGAACUGGCCAAUCAGAAGGUCUCACCCUUGAAGUAUUUGUGUAGCAAAUGUUUAAAUAAAUCAUGCAUCAUUGCAAAUAUUUUGAUAGUAAAGAAAACAGGUCAUGCACGUCAGACAAAGUAAAAAAAUAAAAUAAAAUAAAUAAUAAAAAAGCAAAGUUAAGUUAAGAGCACAACAUUCUGAUUUGACAUAAUAAUCAAUGAAACAAAUAAACAAAUAAAUAAAUAAAUAUAUUAUUAUGUAAUAUUUUCUAAGAAUGGGAAUUGUAGGGAAUUUAAUAGUUACAAUUCUGGUUCAUUGGUGGUUCCAUUAACACUUGUUUUACAUGGUAAAGAAAGAAAUACAUUUAGAAUAAAGCAAUGAAAUUAUUAUUACAUUGACAGUCCUCAGCAGUUUUUUUUUUUUUUUUUUUUAGAAAUAAAUGCAGUUGUUUCAAAAAGUGUUUACAUAGACUUUUAAUGACUUGACAACAGUUCUCGGUUCAUUUCGGACAUGACUCUGGAUUCACUAAAAAGAACCGGCUCAUGAGUUGCUCGUUCGGGAAUUUGAAGACCUACACAGUGUUGCCAAGUCCGCGUUUUUUUUUUUUCUUGUAAAAACCUGGCAACCCUGGCCCUACGUAUUUGAUUUAGAUACGAGUUAUUUGUUUGGGGAAAAGAAUCGGUUCAUGAGUCUUUCGUUUCCAAUGUUUGUGUUUCCCUCUGUAGAAUCAGACACGUUGUCAAUAAUUUAGUACGGUUUCCGUCCACAUCGAGCGUCAUAAAAUAGGCUUUUAUUUGGUUCCAGUACCAUUAAACGUUUUUCAGUUGUAAUUUGCCUAUGUAAAGCAUGCACCGCCAAGAGUCAUUUAAGAGUCGUUCAGCAGCAGCUGCACGAGCAGGUUUUGGACUUGAUCUUGAGGAUCACGCUUUUGCAGUGGGCAGGUCAUGAUUACACUUUCUGCAGUAUGUCUGUGCAUCUGUCCAGUGGCCUGUAGCACGAAGCUGGUUUCAGUUUUUACCCACCUGCAGGGUCUCCUCCAUGAUUGUGACUGGCACUGGUGAGGUGGUGGGGAUUCUUCUUUGGCUCCUUCUUUGGUUCCUUGAGUGCUGUGAAUACUGUGCUGAAUUGGGUAACUUGGUAUCUGUGUAUUGUAAUAAAACAACAUGUACAAGCGAUAAAGCUUUCACUACAGUUUUAUUGCCAGUUAUUAGCCCGCUCUGAUUUGGUGGGAAAUAAUAAACAUGAACAUAUAUAAUAUUUUAUACUUCUGACUCAUCCCUUU
ensembl:lncRNA